rnacentral:rRNA from 1 species
CCGGAGCUGGGCGCAGCCUGAUCAGCCAUUCCGCGUGAGUGAAGAAGGCCUUCGGGUUGUAAAGCUCUUUCGCAAGGGAAGAAAACUUACAUUCUAAUAAAGUGUGAGGCUGACGGUACCUUGAUAAGAAGCACCGGCUAACUACGUGCCAGCAGCCGCGGUAAUACGUAGGGUGCGAGCGUUAAUCGGAAUUACUGGGCGUAAAGCGUGCGCAGGCGGUUUUGUAAGUCAGAUGUGAAAUCCCCGAGCUCAACUUGGGAACUGCGUUUGAAACUACAAGACUAGAAUAUGUCAGAGGGGGGUAGAAUUCCACGUGUAGCAGUGAAAUGCGUAGAGAUGUGGAGGAAUACCAAUGGCGAAGGCAGCCCCCUGGGAUAAUAUUGACGCUCAUGCACGAAAGCGUGGGGAGCAAACAGGAUUAGAUACCCUGGUAGUCCACGCCCUAAACGAUGUCUACUAGUUGUUGGUGGAGUAAAAUCCAUGAGUAACGCAGCUAACGCGUGAAGUAGACCGCCUGGGGAGUACGGUCGCAAGAUUAAAACUCAAUAAAAUUUGACGGA